CCCUUAGAUGUUCGGGGCCGCACGCGCGCUACACUGAAGGAAUCAGCACGUCUUUCUCCUUGUCCGAAAGGACUGGGUAACCCGCUGAACCUCCUUCGUGCUAGGGAUUGGGGCUUGUAAUUCUUCCCCAUGAACGAGGAAUUCCCAGUAAGCGCGAGUCAUAAGCUCGCGUUGAUUACGUCCCUGCCCUUUGUACACACCGCCCGUCGCUACUACCGAUUGGAUGGUUUAGUGAGAUCCUCGGAUUGAUCCCGGCGCGGCCUCUGGUCGUGCCGGAGUGCCGAAAAGAAUGUCGAACUUGAUCAUCUAGAGGAAGUAAAAGUCGUAACA
rnacentral:rRNA from 1 species